rnacentral:rRNA from 1 species
UACGGGGGGAGCAAGCGUUGUUCGGAUUUACUGGGCGUAAAGGGCGCGUAGGCGGCACUGCAAGUCAGUUGUGAAAUCUCCGGGCUUAACCCGGAAAGGUCAACUGAUACUGCAGGGCUAGAGUGCAGAAGGGCAACUGGAAUUCUCGGUGUAGCGGUGAAAUGCGUAGAUAUCGAGAGGAACACCUGCGGCGAAGGCGGGUUGCUGGGCUGACACUGACGCUGAGGCGCGAAAGCCAGGGGAGCGAACGGG